GACAGAGGGUGCAAACGUUGUUCGGAAUUACUGGGCGUAAAGCGCACGUAGGCGGAUUUGUUAGUCAGGGGUGAAAUCCCGGGGCUCAACCUCGGAACUGCCUUUGAUACUGCAAGUCUCGAGUCCGGAAGAGGUGAGUGGAAUUCCUGGUGUAGCGGUGAAAUGCGCAGAUAUCAGGAAGAACACCCGUGGCGAAAGCGGCUCUCUGGAACGGUACUGACGCUGAGACGCGAAAGCGUGGGGAGCAAACAGG
rnacentral:rRNA from 1 species